CAGGCCGGCGCGUUAACAUAGGACCACGUCGGGCAUGCGCAUACUGCACGCAUGCAUCAGAGCAUGCGUACUUCUAUCUGAGAUUCUGCCAGGUUGAACAAGACUCGGCCUUUGUGAGGCGUGCUCAGAGGAGCUCCACAUUGACCUCACCUUGGCUUCCGGGGCAGAGUCUUCAGCUUCUGGUGUAGACUCUGCAGCCUUCAUUGCCGACCCAUCGGCCUCCUGAUGUGAACUCCCCUGGGACACUGCAGUCAGCUCCAGACCUUCGACUGGAUCCUUCAGUCUCAGUGUGCAGAUGGACCCCCUGGACUCUUCACACCUGACUCUGGGCAGCUAUUGUUGCAGCUUCCUGAAGCUUUGGUGAUUUUCAAAUCUUGCUACUUGAUCCACAUGUGGACAGUCUCACCCGACUUCUCUUCUGCAGCGUGCACAAGCAGCAAGGCCGUGGAAAUUGCCAGAUGUGACUGAGCUGUGCCGUGCCUUUCCCACACCCACUGGCUUCGCUCCAUCACUGACUAGCACGUGGCUCCAUCUGCCCAGAUGAAACUGUGAUGAGAGCACACACACAUAACCCUAGGAACAGAAGUUGGAUAUAGCACCUCUGUGUUGGCCCCACUGGGUUUCUGACCCUCUGACCGAGGACUGCACCGGCGGCGAGGCUCUCUCGGUGAAUGGAGCUGGGUGUCUGUGCCGACCCUUCCACUGCCUGUUAACUUCUCUGACUAUUUCUGCCUCCGUUCUCCGUGCGGUGGCACUAACUCAUAAAAUUAAUUCCCAUUUCGUGGGAUUGUCAGAAAUGAGGAUUGUUCUGACCCCUGUUUGAACUCAUCAGCCGAAAUGAAGUUGCUCACUGAGCUGGGGAAGACAAAGCUCGGUUCCAAGAAAUUAAUCAACUCCACCGGCGCUGGGAGAGGCCCGGAGUCGGCCGCGCCACGCUGACCCCAAACAGCUCCGAUCCCGCGCUCAAAUGAAAGCCAU